UGGAGGAGCAGGUGGUGUUCUGGAGUCUUUUGGGCUGCUGGUGUUAUCAGGAAAGUCUGUCUUCAGUUUGUACUGGGCUGGGGGUCAAGGGAGUGUGGAAAUAUGAUCACAAAAUUCAUUCAGGAACAGACUUCUCAAGCACAUUUGGUUUCUCAAUUACUGGAGAUGAGUUUAGAAAUAUCGAACUAGAAUUGUUGAAUUGUCUACUUCUCCUUUGAAUUCUGUAGAACUUCACAGUGCUUUAUAAAAGUUUGAUUUAGUUGGCAACAUUGAAGAUCAGGAGCAUAGAGAUAAAACUUCAAAUUUCAACCUUCCCAUGAAAAAUCAGAUGACCUGGCAGCACUGGGCUUUAAUUCUUGAAUGACUGUCAUUGGCUAGAGU